GCCGUAUGUAUCAAUCAUUAACCAAGGAUAGACUCACAUGUAGAUAACAAUUUAAAAGUUUACAACUAACAAUUUCACGUGAAGACAACUGCACGAGUUUACAACUAACAUAUCAUUAGUAGUGUUUAUUUGUUUUGAUGUUGAGUUAGUUCAAAUUGUUGAUGUGAAUGCAGAAAACUAUUGCCUCACCGGGGCGUGGUAUUCUGGCCAUGGAUGAGUCGAAUGCUACCUGUGGGAAGCGUUUGGCCUCAAUUGGGUUAGAGAACACCGAAGCUAACCGCCAAGCAUACCGUACCCUGCUUGUGUCAGCACCAGGCCUUGGUCAGUUCAUAUCUGGCGCCAUUCUCUUUGAGGAAACUCUCUACCAAUCCACCGUUGAUGGCAGGAAGAUUGUUGAUGUACUUGUUGAGCAAAACAUUGUUCCCGGUAUCAAAGUUGACAAGGUAAGCCUUUUUUAUUUCAAUUUCCUUUCAAAUUAUACUGAACUUAUGUGUACAAUAUAAGAAAAAAAAAAGUUGAUAUAUUGGUCAACUGUUAAUCAAAAGUUGUUAGCUUUUCUAGAAUUCCUGUACUCUUCUUAUGUGAACUUGGUAGUAUUUGAUUUGAUUGAUGAUAGAGAUGUGGGACAUGUAACCUCCCAUUGGAUGGAAUAGGCUCUGAUACCAUAUUAGAAACCCAAAAAACUUGCUGAUAGGGUGAGAGAUGUUUAGCACUUAAAAAUUCUUAAGACACCUUAUCUUUUAGAGAUGUGGUUUAAUAAUUUAUGACAUUCUACACUUUAACAAGUGGUUUAUGUGGCAAUAACAACAGGGUUUGGUGCCAUUGGCUGGUUCCAAUGAUGAGUCAUGGUGCCAAGGUUUGGAUGGUCUUGCCUCUCGCUCAGCUGCAUACUACCAGCAAGGUGCUCGUUUCGCCAAAUGGUGAGUUUCUGCCUAUUGUUAUUGUCCUCUUUUUCUUUGGCAGCAACAUCAAACUUAUACCAAACUCAAUUUCAUUCAUAAAUUAGGCGUACCGUUGUGAGCAUCCCCAAUGGUCCUUCUGCUCUUGCAGUUAAGGAAGCAGCCUGGGGUCUGGCUCGCUAUGCUGCCAUUUCUCAGGUGAGAAGUGAGAAACACUAAGUUACAUAAAGAGAUUUUCAUUUUGGUUUCACUUCUAUAAAUACAGUCUUCUGAUGUGCAUUCUUUUUAAUGCUUAGGACAAUGGCUUGGUCCCAAUUGUGGAGCCAGAGAUCUUGCUUGAUGGUGAACAUGGCAUUGACAGGACUUUUGAGGUAGCGAAAAAGGUUUGGGCUGAGGUUUUCUUCUACCUUGCUGAGAACAAUGUCCAGUUUGAGGGUAUCCUCCUUAAGCCUAGCAUGGUUACUCCUGGAGCCGAGUCCAAGGACAGAGCCUCUCCUCAGAAAGUUGCUGACUACACACUCAAGCUUCUUCACAGCAGAAUUCCCCCGGCCGUCCCCGGAAUUAUGGUAAGUAACACUGCCAAACUCCAUCAUUACAUUGUUCUUUAUAUGUUGAUGUACUAAGAAAAUGUCCAAUUUUGUGUAGUUCUUGUCUGGUGGACAAUCUGAGGUGGAAGCAACUCUCAACUUGAAUGCAAUGAACCAAUGAAUAUGGUUUUGUACUUCAUUCCUUGUACUCUUCUAUGCUAAGAAUACUAGAAUAGGAAAUAAAACACUCAGUAGAUUACUGUAGUAGAAUGUUGAUUAAUCACCAAGAGUGCCCUUACUAGAUUGGAUUAUAAUAAUAAAUAAAAUAGUUUUAUAGAAGCUAUCACUUGGUAAUGUGUAGGGUUGAAAUCUUGGUUCUGUUUGCACUUUAUAAUGUUCAUUAGUUUGCCAACUUCAAGAACCAUGUCAGUUGGAUUCUUAUUUUAUUUUAACCAAAGUUUGCAGAUAACUUAAGUACCUUCCCUUCAAAUAGGUUUGGUAAUUCUGUCUUCUUUAUUCUUUUUGCUUCUACCAAUCUACAUGCGAUUGCUUAAUAGACUUGAUAGUUUCCCUACUACCAAAGAAGGAAAAGUAAAUAUAUUUGUGACUUUGGCCAUUGAAUAUCAUAGUUUGGAGACCUCAAUCUCUCCAAAAUCUGAGACUAAAUCAGGACCAUAAAAUCUUUUAGAAGGAGACAAAUUGCAUCAUCAUCAAGCCUAGUUAUAACCGCACACUGGUUUUUCCAUACAAAAGCCACUAACUUGUACCCUUUUGGAUGCAUGUUACACCUUUGUCACUAAUAGCAGCACAAUUGUGGGGAAAAAACUCUACCUUUUAUUUCCAAAUUCCAAGUCUAUUUGUUAACUUUUACAAGGUGAGCAAAGAGCCAUCCAUUUCAACCACUUAAUGCAGGAGAUUAUUGUAAGAGCACAAGUUUACCAUCUUAUAUUUAAACACACUCGUAAUAAAAAUAGUAUUUUUACUACUUGUUAUUAAGAGUGCGUUUAAAUAUGAGAUGGUAAACUUGUGUAAUGUAUUCACCUAGGAAUUUUUUGACAAUGGAAAAUGCCAAGUAAGCAGGAGUUAUCAUCCACAUGUCAGGUGAGGAUAGGUUGGUUGACAUGAGCCUCAAAUGAGAUAUCACUUGGUAACUAUAAAUAUAGAGAGAACAGAGUGCAUGUGUGGUAAAAAGGCACACAAAGAGGUUGCUGAAGGGGAUAAGAUUAUUGUGUUGCUGCUUGUUAAGGCAGAUUCAUACCAUUUUAUUGCAUUGAAACAAACAAUGGCCUCAGCAUCAGCAACUCUUCUCAAGUCAUCCCCAGUUCUUGACAAGUCUGAGUGGGUUAAAGGCCAAACACUUCGCCAAACUGCAGUGUCUCUUGCAAGAACCAACUCUGCCGCCCCAUCACCAUCAGCACUCACCAUCAGAGCUGGUUCCUAUGCCGAGGAGCUCGUCAAGACCGCGGUAUGAACGAUAAAACAUUGUUUUGAAUGCUAGAUGAUAAUGAUUCACCCCCAUAAUUCAUUUUGUUCUUUGCACUUUGGAUUUCUAGUACUUUAGUUAUGAACUUAUGUUGCACCAAAGCAUGGUUUACUUUACCAACUACGAACCAAGAGUAGCUCCAUUUAUGAACUUCAGAGGGCGUGUAGUUUUACAUCUUACAUUAGCAUGGUUUUGAAAUUGUUGCUUCAAUCUUCUUCAACCGUGUAAUCUUUUGAAUGUGUACGUGUAUAAUAUAUUUAGAAAACUAUUGCUUCACCUGGGCGUGGGAUUUUGGCGAUGGAUGAGUCAAAUGCAACCUGUGGGAAGCGUUUGGCCUCAAUUGGGCUAGAGAACACUGAAGCUAACCGCCAAGCAUACCGCACCCUCCUUGUGGCAGCACCAGGCCUUGGUCAGUUCAUCUCCGGUGCCAUUCUCUUUGAAG
rnacentral:lncRNA from 1 species